GUGUUCACUCUGGCAGCACAUGUGCUAAAACUCAGAUGAUACAGAGAAGAUUAGCAUGGCCCCUGCACAAGGAAGACAUGCAAAUUCAUGAAGUACUCCAUAUUUUU
rnacentral:snRNA from 1 species